AGAAAAACAGAGCAGAGCGAGCUGCAGCAUGGAGUGCUAGGGGAGCAAGGGCACGGGCUUGCAUCACCAAGAAGCUGGGUCCAGAGAAGUUUGUACCCGCUCUGCUCAGGACUUCAGUACCAAUGUCUCUUAUCAUCACCUCUACCCAUUGGGAACUGAAACCAGACCUCCUAUAGCCUCCAGAGUGUUCUGUGGCAGAUAUUUCCCCCAAG